rnacentral:lncRNA from 1 species
AUAUAUAUGAGCAAUGGCAUCGAUCUACUGAGGAACCGGGAGGGCAUGAGGGAAGGCAUUUUUGGAUGCCGACAUGGUCUGCAAUUUGCAGUCAACGGAGAUGAAUUGGGAAGAAUUGGCAUCGUCUUCUUCAAGAGAAAUCAUGUUGAUUAGUUGCAGCAAAACCUUCUCUAGCUCUUCACCAUCGGUCCAUUCAUAGAUCUCAGCCUUGAUCAACAUUGGGUUCCUGCAAAUUAAAUCCCAAACUGGAUAAUUCUUC